AGAGUUUGAUCCUGGCUCAGGAUGAACGCUAGCUACAGGCUUAACACAUGCAAGUCGAGGGGAAACGACAUCGAAAGCUUGCUUUUGAUGGGCGUCGACCGGCGCACGGGUGAGUAACGCGUAUCCAACCUGCCCACCACUUGGGGAUAACCUUGCGAAAGUAAGACUAAUACCCAAUGAUAUCUCUAGAAGACAUCUGAAAGAGAUUAAAGAUUUAUCGGUGAUGGAUGGGGAUGCGUCUGAUUAGCUUGGUUGGCGGGGUAACGGCCACCAAGGCGACGAUCAGUAGGGGUUCCGAGAGGAAGGUCCCCCANAUUGGAACUGAGACACGGUCCAAACUCCUACGGGAGGCA
rnacentral:rRNA from 1 species